rnacentral:rRNA from 1 species
GAUGAACGCUGGCGGCGUGCAUAACACAUUCAAGUCGAACGAAGCGUAUUCUGGAAACCUUCGGGCGGAAAGGAUACGACUUAGUGGCGGACGGGUGAGUAACGCGUGAGCAACCUGCCUACGAUAGAGGGAUAACGCAUGGAAACGUGCGCUAAUACCGCAUGAGGCGACAUCUUCGCAUGGAGAAGUCGUUAAAGAGAAAUCGAUCGUAGAUGGGCUCGCGUAUGAUUAGGUAGUUGGUAAGGUAACGGCUUACCAAGCCUGCGAUCAUUAGCCGAACUGAGAGGUUGAACGGCCACAUUGGAACUGAGAAACGGUCCAG